ACUGAGUUUAAGACGUUUGGCUGAACAGAUUUAAUUAUCUCAAUGGUGCUUCAUAUCAGUUACUGUAAACAUUUAACACCAGAGACACUCAGCAAACUGAGAUGAAGUCACUGCCUUUCCCUCCCUGCUGCUGCACAAGCUGCUUUCUCUCCCAAGUCAGCUGGAACGUCACCGAUUGGCACACGCUAACGCGGUGAUCCACGGCAACAGGUGCCAAAGGGUUGUUGCUGGGGCAACAGUGGCACUUUGCAUCAGCUAUAAGACAUUGUUAAAGAGGCCAACAAUACUGAGUUCAGAUGAGUUCAACAGGCAGAAACCCUGAAUAAACAGAAGUGAAGAGGUCAACGUGAUGUCCUGUUAUUCUGACCUUUAGCUCACAAAAAGUCCAUUAAAUGUCUGAGUGGCCAUUAAAAAGAAUUACAUGUAAAAAUAUUUCACCAUGAGUCAUCUAAUGGGAAACAAAAGUGAAAUCUAUCACAGGUGUGAGACACAUAAUGGACCAGAGAGGCGUCAGUGACUCAGACAGUUUUUAGAAUGAGUCAUCAAUUCACAGCUGAUCAGCGAGAUGAUCCAUCAGCUGCACAGCGAACCGAAGCAGACACAAGACAAGUAGACUGAGAGAGAAACUGACAGACAGACAGAUAUGUCUGUUACAGAUAUGUAAAAUCCCCCAAAACCAAAAGAGGAGAAAGACCCCCGGACAGAAGACUGACAGGUGAACCAGAAGAGCUGCUGCUAAACUUCAGCAUUUAGUUGACACAGGAGAUAAAAA